ACGGGUGAGUAACGCGUGGGAAUCUACCCAACCCUACGGAAUAACGCAUGGAAACGUGUGCUAAUACCGUAUACGCCCUUCGGGGGAAAGAUUUAUCGGGGAUGGAUGAGCCCGCGUUGGAUUAGCUAGUUGGUGGGGUAAAGGCCUACCAAGGCGACGAUCCAUAGCUGGUCUGAGAGGAUGAUCAGCCACAUUGGGACUGAGACACGGCCCAAACUCCUACGGGAGGCAGCAGUGGGGAAUAUUGGACAAUGGGCGCAAGCCUGAUCCAGCCAUGCCGCGUGAGUGAUGAAGGCCCUAGGGUUGUAAAGCUCUUUCACCGAUGAAGAUAAUGACGGUAGUCGGAGAAGAAGCCCCGGCUAACUUCGUGCCAGCAGCCGCGGUAAUACGAAGGGGGCUAGCGUUGUUCGGAAUUACUGGGCGUAAAGCGCACGUAGGCGGAUAUUUAAGUCAGGGGUGAAAUCCCAGAGCUCAACUCUGGAACUGCCUUUGAUACUGGGUAUCUUGAGUAUGGAAGAGGUAAGUGGAAUUCCGAGUGUAGAGGUGAAAUUCGUAGA
rnacentral:rRNA from 4 species